rnacentral:rRNA from 1 species
GCUUAUCACCAUUUCUUAUUGAAUAUACCCGAUCUCGUUUGAUCUCGGAAGUCAAGCAAUCUCGGGCUUGGUUAGUACUUGGAUGGGUGACCGCUUGGGAAUACCAAGUGUGAUAAGCA